AGUGAACGCUGGCGGUAGGCCUAACACAUGCCAGUCGAACGGCAGCACAGUAAGAGCUUGCUCUUACGGGUGGCGAGUGGCGGACGGGUGAGGAAUACAUCGGAAUCUACUUUUUCGUGGGGGAUAACGUAGGGAAACUUACGCUAAUACCGCAUACGACCUACGGGUGAAAGCAGGGGAUCUUCGGACCUUGCGCGAUUGAAUGAGCCGAUGUCGGAUUAGCUAGUUGGCGGGGUAAAGGCCCACCAAGGCGACGAUCCGUAGCUGGUCUGAGAGGAUGAGCAGCGACAGUGGAACUGAGACACGGUCCAGACUCCUGCGGGAGGCAGCAGUGGGGGAUGUUGGACAAUGGGCUGAAGCGUGAUCCAGCCGUAGCGAGGGGAAGAAGAAGGGCUGCGGGUUGCAAAGCCGUUCUGUUGGGAGAGAAAAAAAGCAGGGCAACUACGCGCUGGCCGGAAGGGACCCAAAGAAUAAGCACCGGCUAACGUCGUG
rnacentral:rRNA from 1 species